rnacentral:lncRNA from 1 species
UUAUUCUGCGUCAUGCACUCCGCCAGCUCAGCUUCGCCGUCAGCUGCCUUCGAUUGAGGAGUUCAAUAAAGUAGUUGCUCCUUCCCCCAUUAGAGAUGCAAUGCCUACUAGUCCAGUUCGUGCUUCGUUGUCUCGUGCAGCCCGUCUAGAGCCCGUGCUAGAGAAACUGGACUCCCCAGCUCCUCAUCUGGGACUAUCCUUGGGUUAGCCAAUCCAGGUCUAUUCCGACUCCACCUAGAGAUGGUGCAGUAGAUCGCUGGUACGUCUGUGCGAUAUGUAUGAUGAUGUGCUCGUAGACUGAAGGGAAGUAGUCGUGUUGCAUCAUGUAGGACCAUGAGAAGUGCACUAGAUUAAAUAGCAUGUCAGACAUAUGAGAGUGCGACCUGAGUGAUAUGUAAAAUUAUGUGUGUUGUAUGAUGUACCGCAGUGCUUCUCCGAACGCAGAGGUUAAUGAAAAGACUUUUCACAGUGUUUCCUUGGAUAAAUUUUUUAAAUUUU